rnacentral:rRNA from 1 species
UGCGUAGGCGGACUAAUAAGUCAGUGGUGCAAUCUCUCGGCUCAACCGGGAAACUGCCAUUGAUACUGUUAGUCUUGAGUUCGGUUGAGGUAGGCGGAAUGUGUAAUGUAGCGGUGAAAUGCUUAGAUAUUACUCAGAACACCAAUUGCGUAGGCAGCUUACUAGACCGACACUGACGCUGAGGCACGAAAGCGUGGGUAGCGAACAGGAUUAGAUACCCUGGUAGUCC